rnacentral:tRNA from 2 species
CCGAGCUGUACGCCGACCGGAUGCGGGUGGGCUGGCUCUCCCGCGGCUACGAGGACCUCGGCGCGGUCCUGUACCACGAGUUCGGCC